UAAAGAGAAGUUCCCUACACCGGUUCUCUCUUUGCCUGCUGCCAUCCACGUAGUAUGUGACUUGCUGCUCCUUGCCUUCUGCCAUAAUUGUGAGGCCUCCUCAGCCACAUGGAAAUGCUUAUAGGCAGAAGAGACUUGCCUUGUCUCAGAUGAAACUUUGGACUGUGGACUUUUGAGGACUCUGCUUACCCUUUGUGAAUAAGCCCAGUGAAUCUGCUGAGUGAUGAGAGAGAUAGUGGGCCAGUCACUUCAUUGCUCCAGGCAACACGCAGUUAUCUUCCUCCAGGUCCUGCACAGUUCAAUAUUAAAUGGAGUUUCUACCCUAGCAUGAAAGGAGGAAGAGAGAAAAUCGGCUCCAAGAGAAAUUCAGCUCCCACAUUUCCCAAAUAUUAGAGUGAGACCAUCUGGAAUUCAAAAUGUUAUUGUAGGUGGUUAUGUUGAACAUGUAAAUAUUCUCCCUGCUGUGAGUAUUACUGCAGCUGCCCAAAGAUGCUUAUUUUAAAGAUGUGGAUACAGGAAGAUAAAAGCAUCAGAAACACUGCAUGGGGGAGCAAAGUAAUAUAAUUCCACAAAAUACACCAUCCUGUGACCCCUUCAAGGAAGGACAUGCUGCUCAGCCCUAUGAGAACAAGGUCAGCAGACAGCCUCUAGGUGUCAGCUCCUUCAAGGUUGCCAUCAGCUGCAGAGCCUCCCUGCCCAAAGUCAUGCCUUUCCUGAAGAAGCCUGUAUCCAUUGGAUUGUACUGAGAAAAUCAUUCAGACUGCAGCUUCCUGAUUUUAGACAUCCCCACUGGCAAUUGGGACAUCUAUUUUGGAGAUGUAAUUGAAAAGACUGAAGAAUGUACUGAGGACCUUCUGGCUGAUAGAAGCUGACAAAGAAGCCAAGAUAGUUUGGUGAAGAUUUCUGCAAUACCUGAGUUUCUAAUCACAACAACAAAAAUGGCAUUUAUUUCCUAUUGACCCAAACAGUGGCAACGUUUUAGUCAAGGUGAUUUAGAGGAGGUUAGAAAGAGAGGUGGAUGCUUGGGCCAUAUUAAAGGCAGAAAAUGGGUUAUUCUCCCAUUAUCCUUUACUCAGCAAUUUUUUUAUCUCCCCAAAACACUUUGAGCUUUUUGUCCCCUGGGAAUUGGACAGGCUCUAGAAAUAACAUAUAUAGAUUGGUUGUAUAUUUUCUCAUUAACCAUUAUCUUUCUAAGCUCCCUAGUGGCAAAUUAGCUAGGUCUAAGAAGUUAUUAUGGCAUCCAAGCCAUCGUGUAUGUUUUGGGAUUAUGAUGUAACCCAGAAAUAUUAACUCCCUCAUGUGGGUGCCUAGAGUCUUGGCAAAGUCCCCCUUAGUUAGCUAGCCAGUGUUUGAAAUAAAUCCAUAAAUAAUAAUAAUAGUUAACAAUUACUGAGUGUUCACUAUGUGCUAAGCAGUGUGCCAAAUGUUUGAUACACAUUUUCCCACUUAAGCCAUGCAAGUAUUCUAUAAGGUAGACGUUACCAUCAUUUCCCUUUUACCAACAUGGAAAAUGAGGUUUGGGUGGGUUAAAUAAUUUACCUUAGAGACAUAGCUCUGUAACACCAUUAUCUUCAUCAUAAAUUAAGAUUCCAUUCAUUUGGAAGCCAGUAAAAGUUUAUAAUGUAACUGUUGCAUCUUCAGCAACUCACAACAUCUUAUUUAUACAUUACUUCUGACACUGUUCUAAUCGGCCUCUGUGCCUAGAAUUAAAAAUGUUCCAGUCCAUUUUAAUGCAAUCCACUAGAAGAUUCACAUGGCCCAUGAAAUGUUUUAGUUUCUGGGGAGGGAAAAGAAGACAAAAAUAAAAAGAAGCACUUUUUGCCCUCAAUGAAGUCACAGUCUAUUAGGCAAUGCUAGUCCUUAUUUUCUUUGCGUGUAUGACUCUAUUCUUCAUUUCCUCACUACUGUUUAUGGAAGUUGGACCAGGAAAGUAAUGGAAAGCAAGUCUUACCCAAAGAAUUAUUGACAUAACUAUUUAGAACUCAGUUUCUUUGCUAUUCGGCAAAAUACCAAGCAAGUUUUCCUGACCAGCAUAGGGAUAGAAUCUAUGGCCUCAAUCUCUUUAGUACUGUUAGUAUUAAUCUUUAGUACUGUUAGUAUUAAGUAGGUGAAGCCAGUCUGGUACCUAAUUAAAGUAUAAUGAUCUCCAUUUAUCUGAGGUAUGGCUCCAGUCACCCGCUGAUAACCCUGUCUUUUGGGGGAUACUGUUGUCUUCAUAUCUACAGAAAUAGGCCCCUAGAAGUCAUGUUUGAACUGCAUAGCCCUAUGGGCCAUGGCUGGUUAGUCAAUAGGUUAAGACUACCCAAGCCAAGCCAACCAGAUUGUUUCCCCUGGGAUUCUCAGAUGUUUUACCUCUGUUCUUGCAAGUGGUUAAACCAGUAAUACCUAAACUUGAGGGCAAUGGGAUAGCCUUUAAUGUGUAUGUGUCAAGGAGCAAAGAAAGCCUGUCUGUAUCUGGAAAGACAAAUACUGAUGUGCAAAGGGAAACAGCCAUAAGAAAUGAAGAGAAAGUCAUGAAAAUGUUUGGAUUUCUGGUUCUAGUCUGUUUUCAUAAAUUCUGUUUACAAGUCAUUCCCCAAGUCAUUCCUUUAUUCUUAUAAUAAAUUCCCAUUCUUGCCAUAAGCUAGCCUGAGUUGAUUUUUGUUACUUGUCAUCACUGACACUUAAGUGAUACAUAAACUGAACAAUCUUUACCAGAGUUGUCAUGUACAGUUGUACACUGCAUAACAUUGGGGAGUGCCAGUCACAUCAUUGAUUGCAUUAUAUAACCAUAUGCAGUCCUGACUUUUAUGGUCAUUGAGUUUUUGAGCAAUAUAUUUCCUGAGUGCUUAACUCAAUUCAUCAAAUAUUGAUUGAGUACCUAUUCUACUUAAUAAAUUCUAUUCUAGAGAUUGUACUAGUUAUAGGAUGCAAAGAUUAAAAAUAAACACCGGCCCUACUCUCCACAUGGUCACAGUCUAGGAAAGCAGACCAACAAAAAACAAUCACAACAUAAUGUGAUAUAGACGACAAAGAAGCAUUUCAGAGGGGAACAUAAAUACAAUAACUUCCUCAGGAAGUAUCAGGGGAGGCUUCACAGAGAAGCAAUGCCUAAGCAAAUUCCAGGUAGUAGGAACAGCAUGUAUAAAUGUAUGAGUAAAUGUGGGAGGCUGAGGCAGGUGGAGCACCCGAGGUCAGAAGUUCAAGACGAGUCUGGCCAACAUAGUGAAUGAAACCCCAUCUCUACUAAAAAUACAAAGAAAUUAGCCAGGUGUAGUGAUGCAUGCCUGUAGUCCCAGCUACUUGGGAGGCUGAGGCAGGAUAAUCACUUGAACCUGGGAGGCAGAGGUUGCAAUGAGCCAAGAUCAUGCCAUUGCGCUCCAACGUUGGUGACAGAGUGAGACUCCAUCUCAAAAAAAAAAAAAAAAAUAGUAUAAGUGGAAUAGCAUAGUAUGUUUGCAGAAAUGUGGAUGGUUUGCAGUUGCAGAAGGUGGAAAGAGAGUAAUAAAUAAAAGAGCAGGGGCAAAAUCACAAGAAGCUUUGCACACCAGGCUAAAGAGCUUGUACAUUAUGCAGUAAACUAAAGCUUUUCACAUUAUGAAGACUGAGUAAUAAAAACGAAAUCCUAAGCUCCACAUCUGACUGAACAAACCCCCUUUUGGUCAAGGGGACCUUAAAAAUUGAGUUCCCGGUAAUGACUGGAUAGGAGUUAGGGCACACCUUAAUAUGCCCCUUGUAUUAGUCUGUUUUCACACUGCUGAUAAAGACAUACCCAAAACUGGGAAGAAAAAGAGGUUUAAUGGACUUACAGCUCCACAUGGCUGGGAAGGCCUCACAAUCAUGGCGGAAGGCAAGGAGGAGCAAGUCAUGUGUUACAAGGAAGGUGGCAGGCAAAGAGAGAAAAGGACUUGUGCAGGGAAACUCCCAUUUUUAAAACCAUCAGAUUGCUUGAGGCUUAUUCACUACUGUGAGAACAGCAGGGGAAAGACCUGCCCCCAUGAUUCAAUCCCUCCCACAAUACAUGGGAAUUAUGGGAGCUACAAGAUAAAAUUUGGGUGGGGAUACAGAACCAAACCAUAUCACUCCUCCUUAUUAACCUUUAACCAGAAUUCUUUCCUAAGGGGUACACAGAAACCAGCCCUAGAAAACAAGAAACAGAUGACUUAUUCCUUUGUCACCUUUAGCCAAUCAUCUGAGGCUGUGACCAGAUUCUCCCUCCCUCCUUACAGUUUCCAGGUGACAGCUCAUCACUUCACAAUGCAUCCCUUCCUAAAGACUGACCUCCGUCUCUGGGCCAGUUUUGGCCAACUCUUGAAGGAUGUGCAGUGAUGGUAUUCAUGUCCUCUGCUUCACCUUUUGAUGUCAGAGGGUCAAGAGCUCCACCCUCGGAUCAUGCUAAUGUUGUCGUUUUUGAACACACCACCCAUGAAGAGGCAUGAAGCUCAAUUGCACAUAUGCAUGCUUCUCCUUUCAUAAAUAUUCAUGACUCCUAUAGCUUAUUAAAUAUGUAUACCUGGCCACCCCAUUCAGCAUGAAUUCCUAUUUUAUUUUUCCCUUCCUAGAAAUGCUUGCUCUUGGCUUUUGCUCAAGAGUUCAAGAGUACACUUCCCAGCCUGUGGGAUGACCAGCCUGCACGCUGCAACCCUUUAGGAUAAAUAAAGCUCUCCUUUCCAAAUUUAUGAAUCUGGCAAUUCUUCCGUCAACAUAAUAUAUGAAGCAUCUUGGGAACUUGCUAACAUACUGAUUCUGAUUCAGUAUGUCCAGGAUAGAACUAGCAUUUUGCAUUUCUAACAAGCUCUGUAAUAGUGGCAAUGCUACUGGUCCAUAGGUCACCACACUUUGAGUAACAAGCCUUUAAGCAAUGGGGCAUUGUAGGCUAUUAAGCAGGGAAUAAUAUGGUAUUGCAGAAUGAUCCCCCAAUAUAGUGGGAUGGUCAUGUUAGGCAUAGGAUGUGAGGAAGCAUUAAGGCAGAAGACCAGUUAGGAAGCUAUUUCAAGAUCCACAUGAGAACUGAGGAAGGCAGGAAUUAGACUCACUAUGUGAACUUGAGUGUGUAGUGCUAGGGAACAGUAAGGAGUAUUCUUCCUUUCCUGCUUCUGUCUGGAUUUGUGCUGCAGAAUAAUGGAGAACUUUAAAAUUGACUUCUUUAAUAGCACAAUAUGUUUGCUGAGUGUCUACUUUUAUAUCUACUGCAUUCUUAAAGCCCAUUUAAAAUUAUUUUCAUUUUGACCUGCAAAAUCUACUUUUGAUCAAAUAAUUUGCAAUCAAGUGGUAGUUUCAAGUGGGCUGAAUUCAGUGCUAAGACAGGUUUAUGAUGAAAGAAAGUAUUCACAGGGAUAUGGAGCAUUGUCAUUUUAACUGGGGACAAAUUGUAGCUCCAAACUGUGCUCAGAGAAAAACUGUACUCUGUAUAGCACACCAGAGAUGAGGAGGCACCUUGGUUUGCAUAAGAAUUGUCUGGAAUAAUCAUUAAAAAUGCAGACAUUUUACCUAUCCUUCACCUUACCUCAUCCUUACUGGGCUUACUUGGGGCUAAGACAAUUGCAUUUUUAACCAGCACCUCCAAGAGAUUGUGACACAGUUGAAAUACCCAUGAGAAUUGAGAAAUACCAGUCUAGCUCAUUUUGGCAAAAAUGAAUUGCCUUCUUACAAUGUAAGUCAUUGCCUGUUACUAAUCAAUAGCACCAAACACACAGAUAAGGUAAGAUGGUCCCUACCUUCUAAGAGGUUAUAGUCUCAAUGAUUUAAGUGAUCAGGGUGUUUUAUAGAUCUCUACUAAAGAUCCUUACUUCCACACCAUACUUGUAAAGACUUCUGUAUCUGGCAAGGUCCACACCGGGUAACCAUUGUUAAUAACCCGAAAGCAAUCUCAAAGAGUUUC